rnacentral:rRNA from 1 species
UACGUAGGGGGCGAGCGUUAUCCGGAAUUACUGGGCGUAAAGAGUGCGUAGGUGGUCCUGCAAGCGCGGAGGUCUAAGGCUACGGCCUAACCGUAGUUCGCCCCGCGAACUGCAGAACUUGAGUACAGGAGGGGAAAGCGGAAUUCCUAGUGUAGCGGUGAAAUGCGUAGAUAUUAGGAGGAACACCAGUGGCGAAGGCGGCUUUCUGGACUGUAACUGACACUGAGGCACGAAAGCGUGGGUAGCAAAC